UGUGUUCACUAAUACCACAGCAGCUCUCCUCAAUGACAGUUCGAGGUAAACAAUCCUGAAAAUGAAUGCACAUCAGCUUAGCUCGAUCAGCUAAUGUCCUCCAAUCGCAAAAAAAGUGAAUAGCAUCAAAGAUAUUUAAAAGGAACAGAAAAACUACAAUAAGGCAAGAAUGAAAAACUUCGACGGCCAAAGAACAAAAAAGCUAUGGAUUUGCUUACGCUAACAAAUAGAAGGAAUAGCCGUGCCCGACAAUUGUCCGUAUGUUCCUCAAAUCGGAGUUGCACCAUCUCACCGAGUCAAAGGACAGUAUUAUGGUUUCUGAAGCCUGAUCCGGAACUCACAAACAUCCUUCACUUGUUCCGAUGCGCAAAUAUACAAAUUCUACUAGCACAAGGACAUCUAGCAAAUGGAUCACACUUGCCAGAGUACCGACGACGGACUUCCCUUACCUGAGCAAAUUUUUCAAGCACUUGGUCCGUCUGAAAACACAAAAUGACCAGAUGAAUGCGGUACGGCUCCACCCGAUACGACGUACGUUUUAUUCCCAGCUAUGCUGCUGCCCGGGAAACCGAUGGCGAUUUUAUCGCAUUCCGUUUGGUUUUAGCUCGAGCGAGUCGCAGAAGGAAAGAUGUGAAAGAUGUAGAAUGAAAUUCAAGCACCACUUCGACAGGUCAACUUUUCGUUGAAUCAGAAGUAUUCGAUCACGAAUAUGUAACCAUUGCUGGCCUGACGAUAAAAAGCGGAUACCGUCAUACGAAAAGUAUCCCACAUAUACUGCCGAAUAACGUCCAAUGCACAACGGAAUGAAGCAUCUGGAGAUCCAUCUGCAUUCGUCAUCUUGGGUCAUUGCUCAUGAAAGUUCGGCCGAGAAGAAACUAUCUCUUCGUAAGGAGUUGGAGGAACGCCUGAACCUCUCAAGUUGACUUUAGACGUUGUAAAACUGGAUGCUGAACGAGCUAUUAAAGAUCUACAGUAUCAUAUAAAGUUCAUCACUAAAACAAUUAUAAACAACAAACUAAGUGAAAAUGAUUUACUUUUCAUUAAAAAGAAUAAAAAGAAAAA